rnacentral:rRNA from 1 species
CACGUAUGCAAUCCACCUGUAACAGGGGGAUAACUCGGAGAAAUCCGGACUAAUACCCCAUAAUAUGGGCGCUCCGCAUGGAGAGUCCAUUAAAGAGAGCAAUUUUGGUUACAGACGAGCAUGCGCUCCAUUAGCCAGUUGGCGGGGUAACGGCCCACCAAAGCGACGAUGGAUAGGGGUUCUGAGAGGAAGGUCCCCCACAUUGGAACUGAGACACGGUCCAAACUCCUACGGGAGGCAGCAGUGAGGAAUAUUGGUCAAUGGUCGGCAGACUGAACCAGCCAAGUCGCGUGAGGGAAGACGGCCCUACGGGUUGUAAACCUCUUUUGUCGGAGAGUAAAGUACGCUACGUGUAGCGUAUUGCAAGUAUCCGAAGAAAAAGCAUCGGCUAACUCCGUGCCAGCAGCCGCGGUAAUACGGAGGAUGCGAGCGUUAUCCGGAUUUAUUGGGUUUAAAGGGUGCGUAGGCGGCACGCCAAGUCAGCGGUGAAAUUUUCGGGCUCAACCCGGACUGUGCCGUUGAAACUGGCGAGCUAGAGUGCACAAGAGGCAGGCGGAAUGCGUGGUGUAGCGGUGAAAUGCAUAGAUAUCACGCAGAACCCCGAUUGCGAAGGCAGCCUGCUAGGGUGCGACAGACGCUGAGGCACGAAAG